GGAUGAAGGAGGGAGCUGGCCUGUACUUUGCCCUCGUGAAUCAGCGCAUGGAGGCUGGGCAGUUGCAAAGGUAGCUGACAGGCUGUAGAUCUGAGAGCCAGGAAGAUAAAUAACUACAUAGCUGACUCAAAACACUAGAGAAAUUCAGAAGAUCUAGGAUGGAACCUUGGAUUCCCCAGUGGCUGCCUCAGCCAUCAGGGAGGCCCCCAGCACCAUCAAAGGAUCCAGACCGAGGGCUUCGGAGAGAUAGAUACUAUCAGCCUAUUCCUCACUCUUGGCACGAUGGAGAGAGGGUCCAUCAAAGGCAAGACUUGGGCCGGAGCCCCCAGCCACAGCAGGACCUCAGGGCAGACCACCAGGAGCCUCACUAUGCAGCCAGACCUGGGGAAUGGCAUCCACCUGUGUCUGGGGUUGACUAUUACAAAGGCAGUUAUCCCAGUCAAUUGUAUUCAAGGUGGGGCAUUGAGGAUCUCUAUCAGAACUAUUACUCUCCAGCCCUAAGGGAAGAAUAUGCUUAUGGAAGUUAUUACUACCAUGGACACCCACAGCAGCUUCAGGAAGAAAGAGUGCCAAGGCAAGGGAGUCCUUAUAUCUGGCAGGAAGAUCAUCGAGAUCAAAAGUACCUCAAUGAUCAUCAACAUGAAAACCAGAAUAGUCCCUUUGGAACAAACAGGGAGACCCAGUUCCAAUCUAAGAGUCAGAAUCCUUAUAAAGACAGUCCUGCUUCUAACUCUGGACAGGAGAGGCCCGGGGACCUGUUCAUGGAGAGUCCGCUGACUGGGGCCGAGAAAAACAAGCCGUCUCUGAUAGAGGAGUCCAACCUUCUCUGGCAGCAUGAGUCUGGUCUCACCUCCAGCAGCUACGAGCUCAGUCAGUACAUGGCAGAUGCUUCCGAGCUCCAAGACCCCAUGACUUCAGCAGUCUGGAGCCCAGUUCAGGCUGAGGACGUCUCAGCAGCUGGUCCCAAGGAACCCAUGAAGUUCUAUGUCCCUCACAUGCCUGUGAGUUUUGGGCCAGGAGGUCAGCUGGUGUGUGUGAGUCCCAGCUCUCCCAGUGAUGGACAGACAGCCCUUGUUGAACUGCACAGCAUGGAGGUUAUUCUUAAUGAUUCUGAGGAACAGGGAGAGAUGAGGACUUUCUCAGGACCGCUGAUCAGGGAAGACGUGCACAAGGUGGACAUCAUGACUUUUUGCCAGCAGAAGGCAGCACAGUGCCGCAAAUCUGAGAUACCGGGGGGCAGAGACUCGGCCCUACUCUGGCAGCUGUUGGUUCUCCUUUGUCGGCAGAACGGGUCCAUGGUGGGGUCUGACAUCGCCGAGCUGCUGAUGCAGGACUGUAAGAAGCUGGAGAAGUACAAGAGGCAGCCGCCUGUGGCCAACCUCAUCAGCCUGACGGACGAGGACUGGCCGGUGCUGAGCUCCGGGACCCGGGACCUGCUCACCGGGGAGAUUCCUCCCAGCGUGGAGACGCCUGCGCAGAUCGUGGAGAAAUUCACUAAGCUGCUCUACUAUGGAAGGAAGAAGGAAGCCUUGGAGUGGGCCAUGAAGAACCACUUGUGGGGCCACGCUCUGUUCCUCUCCAGCAAGAUGGACCCGAGGACCUACAGCUGGGUCAUGAGUGGCUUCACCAGCACGCUGGCGCUCAACGAUCCACUGCAGACUCUCUUCCAGCUUAUGUCGGGGAGGAUCCCACAGGCAGCCACGUGUUGUGGGGACAAGCAGUGGGGAGACUGGAGGCCACACUUGGCAGUGAUUCUGUCGAAUCAGGGUGGAGACCCGGAGCUGUACCAGCGCACGAUUGUCACCAUGGGGGACACCCUGGCUGGGAAGGGGCUGGUGGAGGCUGCUCACUUCUGCUACCUCAUGGCUCACGUGCCUUUCGGCUACUACACCGUGAAGACAGACUACUUGGCCUUGCUGGGCAGUAGCCACAGUCAAGAGUUUUUGAAAUUUGCAACAACUGAGGCUAUCCAGAGGACGGAAAUCUUCGAGUACUGUCAGAUGCUGGGCCGUCCCCGAUCCUUCAUCCCUUCUUUCCAGGUGUAUAAGCUCCUUUAUGCUUCCCGUCUGGCAGAUUACGGCCUCACGUCCCAGGCCUUGCAUUACUGCGAAGCCAUUGGUACAGCCCUCCUGAGCCACGGAGAGAGCAGUCACCCUCUGCUAUUAGUGGAACUCAUCAAGCUGGCAGAGAGACUGAAGCUGUCAGAUCCUCUGGUUUUAGAACGCCGCCGCCGCCGAGGAGACAGGGACCUGGAGCCGGACUGGCUGGUGCACCUCCGGGGGCAUCACAGGGAGCUGCAGCAAAAGGAAGCAGGAGACGUUGGGGGUCCUCACUCUGCUCAAGUGGUUAUUUCAGAAGCCAGAAAAACUCCAGAAAACACUUUCUAUCAUGAUCUUUCUGGACCUCAAGGCAACUCAGGAGCCUAUGGCGACCGCUCAGCUCUGUGGCCAACUCCGGAGCAGUCGCGCCCCGCCCAGCCCAGCCCACAGCAGCCUGGCUCCUACCCAACAGGCGGAGGUUCUGGGCAGGUGGGGGUCCCGGUGCCUCUCUACUCCGUUCCCGAGACCCAUCUGCUGGGGACCGGUGGCAGCGUGGCAGUGACAGGGGCUCCCGGAGGAAGAGCCUGGGAGGGAGCCCAGCAGAUACACCUGCCCCCUGGAGAGAACACAGUGUCUCCAGAAACCCUCCAGCAUCCUGAUGGGCAGAAGACUGUUUCCAGACCCCAGGUGCCACUGAUUCCCAGAGCUCGAAGUAUUUCCGAGAGUUCCCCUGUAUCAGUCAAGGAGGACAAGGAGGAGUCCUCUGAUGAGGCAGAUAAAAAAUCUUCACAAAAUACCAUCCAGAGAGAAAAGCUUGGAAACGUGAAGGAGAACACAAAGAGCUCAGGGUUUGGCUGGUUCAGCUGGUUCCGCUCAAAGCCCACCCACAACGCAUCCCCCUCUGGAGAUGAAGACUCGUCUGACAGCCCGGACUCUGAGGAGAUGCCCAGGGCAGCGUCUCCACCUCAGCCCAGCCCAGGCCUCUCACUGACACCUUCCCCAGAUCCCCAGUCUCUGCUGGCUGCCAGUGCCUUCUCCAGGGACACAGGUGGAGAUGAAGUCCGAGGGUCAGCAUCUGGUCCGGGGACAGCUGAGGGCCCCGGGAGUGGAGGCUUGUUGGGACCUGAGGGUGUUUCCACUGAGCUCUACUUCAAUGCUGGUGUUCUGCUUCCCCCACCCCCCGUGACGGGGAGUGUUCCUCUCUACAAACCCUCUCAGGUUCCCCAGGCAAAAUUCAGAUCCAUUCCGUUUUCAAGCUGUGGGCUGCUGCUUCUCUCGGGGCAGAGAAGUGACCUGCUUUCCAUCCCAGAAGCAUUCACAGAUGUCACCAGGAAGUGGAACAAAUGUACUUGACUCUCUUGUCUGGGCCUUCAGAUCGUGUGCAGCAGCUGAACAGUCACUUCGGGGUGAAACCAACAGAAGGGCCGGGUAAAGUGAUGGACAGGAUUAUAUUACUAGAGGAAUUAAGGAGGAGAUGGGCUGCACACAUUGGUUAAUCCACAGAGUCUCAUAAUUUUUCAGGAUUUAUCCAUGUUGGUGAAUGUGCACGUGGUUAAUUCUUCCGCUGCAUUGUCUUCUAGAGCAUGUGUCCACUGUGUUUUGCUCACAGUACCAGUUAUAGAUGCCAUUGCUGGCUCAAUGCUUUGCUGCCACAGUGCUGUGAAGAGCAUCCUUUUCUAUGCCCGUGUAUGGUCCUGGAAAUGUCUUUCAGUAAUUUGAGAAAUGUGAAUCUCUUACCCAUCUCUUCAGGACUCCUGAAGACAGAGAUAAGCCUUCUGUUUCCAGUGAUCAUGGGCCGGAUGAAGCCAGCCUCAGGAUAAUAAACCAGGUUGAAAUCUUUAUCCUCAAACUGAUGGUAUUCAGAGAUGGGGUCCUAGUGGGUGAUGAGAUCAUGAAGGUAGAACCCUCUUAAAUGGGAUUGCUGCUCUUCAAUGGAAGAUCCCAGAGUGAUUUCCUAUCCCUCUGCCAUGUGGAGACAUGGCCAGAAGGCAAAAGUCUAUGAACCAGAAACUGGGUUCUUAUCAGAUACUAUCGGCACCUUGAUCUUGGACUUCCCCGCCUUCAGAACUGUGAGAAGUAAAUUUCUGUUGUUUACAAUCCAUCCAAUCUGUGGUAUAUUGUUAUGGCAGCCUUAAGAGAAUAAAACCCCAUCCGAUGACUACAGUAUUUUUAUUUUACUAUAUUUUUUCUUUUACUUACCUUCCAUGCAGGGAGCACAGCAGUAAAGAAAUGUGCCUUUUCCCCUUCCUCAUGGAAUGUGAGCUAUUGGAAAGAGUAGUGUCUGGGCAUCACUAGACUUGUACUUUUAUCCUGAGUCUGCCACAUGGGAGCCUUGGGCAUGUGUCUUAACCUCUCUGUCCUGCAGCUGCUUCUGGGUCUGUUGAAUUCAGUGCACUAUGACCUCCCUGAAGGCAGGAAAUAUAGCCUAUGUUUCUUUACAAUGCCUGACACAACAGGAACAAAUUUAGUAAACAUUUGGGAAUCUUACCUCUCAAUGUUGCUGAAACACAUCAUCACACACAUCCAUCACUAACAAAUAGCCCUCAAUACAAUGCCAAAUACAUGCCUUUCAUUACUUAAUCUAAUCACCAUGAUUCUGCAAGACAGUUAUUAUCAGUGUUUUGCAGAGAAUACAACUGAGGUAGAGAGAGAUUAAGGGAUUUACUUCUUUGCUUAGUUGGUAGCAAAGUUGGAAUUUAAACUCAGGUCCAUCUGCCUUUGUUUGACUAAUCUAUAGUCAGGACCUAUGCUUCUCAUGUAAUAACAAUACAGUUGCAAAGGGCUUUUGACUUUUUAAAUGUAACAAGAAGCUUCUUUGCUCUAAGACACAGUAAGAAAAAGCCACAGAUUCUGAAAAGGAAGACUGGCAGAGGUGGAAGGGGGGUAUAUCUUGUCCUUGAAUGGUUUUCUCCAGGACAGUCCUUCUGAGGUUCCACCCUCCCCCAGUACUUGACCUUAUUGACCUUGGCUGGUGGGCAGUUUCAGGGUUUGCCUCACUUCUGGGUUCAGAUGCUCUAUUUCACUCAGUUAGAGACUUUGGUGAAGUUAUUGUGCCACAUGUUGCAUGGGCCCCGAGUGUACCCUGUGAACACGAUGGGGCUUUUCUGUUUCUUUCAGGGACUCACAUUCAAGCCAGGCACCUGGAAAAGUAAGCAGGCAGUUUCUCUGAAGAGGUGAUCGUAGGGAGCUGCACACGCUCAUGGGGGUCACAUGACUCAGCCUCGGGAGCUGGGGACGCAGGCGGCAGGAAGUGGCCUCCGUGUAAGGGCCACGGGAGGAACGGUAGGCUAGCCUGGAGUAGGACAGAGGGAACAACCUAAACAAAGCCCUGGAGGACAGAGAGAGCAUUUUACAUUUAGAGACUAAAUUUUGCAUUAUUUUCUUUAGAUCCAGAGCCACAGUAUUUCAGGAAAAAUCCUCCCGCACCCCCACACCAUGCCCCGGUUUCAUUCAACAAUGUCACUGUACUUGUGUUCUGGCUCUGAGAUCAGACAAACCAUCUCCUUCCCCAGUUCCUUGUGGUGAUGUUUGCUGGGGUCCAUGCCUCUCAGGACUCCAGGAAAAGGUCAUUUUAGUAAGUGAGGGGCUCAAUGCCACAGCUGCUUCAUAUAAAAUUCAGCCUCAAAACAAGUAAUACUACAUCUGAGAGCUGUCAGUGUAUUUAUCGGGCAUAUAUUUUUUGCUCAGUGACAAGUGGGUGCUUAGAAGCAGGUUAUGACACUCAGUUUACAUGGCUUUUUGUUUUUGUUUGUUUGUUUGUUUGUUUUUGGUAUAUAAAAUGCAUGUAGAACAUCCCAAGUAGCUUUUACUCAAUUAUCUUGUUUCUUCUUAACCUUCCCGUGGCUAAUAGGAAGCAAAUCCUAUUAUUUCUCUUCAAUCUUUCUUUGCAAUCCUUAGUUGAAAGUUUGUCUUCUUUUUUCUCUUUGGUACUUCUUUGAUAGGUUUGAUUAAUGUCUUUAAAAAAGAAAAGAUUAGUUUUUCUUACCUCAUAAUUAGCAUUACUGCAGAGGGAGCCAGAAGCUGGGGCUGGUGGAAGAAAGCCUGGGACCGUGGCUUCAUCUUCUGUGUGUGACCCCCACCUCCACGGGGAGCCACAGCAAUGGGGCAGCCUCGCUUGUGUUGUUUUCAAGUCUCCCUCUUACUAUUUUUGCAGUUAAAGAUAGAAAUCCCUCUGUUUUCUCAUGUGCUAGGAGAGGUCUCUCCUAACAUCCUGCCUAUUGUCCCCAAAGCAAAUAUACUCACAAUGCGAAAUAUUGCAUGUACAACUUUUUCUGGUUUUCUUUUUUUUCUCCCCCCAGGUUUUGCAAAGUAACACUGAAACCAACUUCUGCAGCGGAGUGAAUCUGCCCAGGGGAUAUUUUUUGCCCUGAAUAACAAUAACUCCCCUAAGAGUGGAAGUUUCUUUUUUGCAGAGCUAUAUUAUUGUUAUUUGGGACUGAUUGACUGACUGUCAGUCUUUUCUGCCAGAAACAGAAAUGCUAAUCAAGGCUUCAGCAUGAUGGGACUGGGGACUCACAUGUCUCUACAUCGCUCAGACCCACGUGGACAAUGGUUUUGCUAAAUCUCAUUUUUGUAGGUCUUUCUGGAGAUGGGGCCUAUAAGAAACUCUGGCAAUCUAGAGAAUGUUGUUCUAACUGAGCUCAUUGUAGUACAUUUUUCACCAAAUUACAUUAGCAUACAAAACUUGGA